rnacentral:snoRNA from 1 species
UCAUGGGCUUGCAUUCACAGCAGAACACUUUGUUGUUACUUUCCUAGUGCACCAUGACAGAGGAAACUGUGGCCUUGUAUGGCCCUUGUGGUUGUACGCUGCUGUCAUUAAAGUAGGUUGCAAGGUG